rnacentral:rRNA from 1 species
UGGGGAAUAUUGGACAAUGGGCGAAAGCCUGAUCCAGCCAUGCCGCGUGUGUGAAGAAGGCCUUAUGGUUGUAAAGCACUUUAAGCGAGGAGGAGGGUACUGGUAUUAAUACUACCAGCUACUGGACGUUACUCGCAGAAUAAGCACCGGCUAACUCUGUGCCAACAGCCGCGGUAAUACAGAGGGUGCGAGCGUUAAUCGGAUUGACUGGGCGUAAAGCGUGCGUAGGCGGCUAAUUGAGUCGGAUGUGAAAUCCCCGAGCUUAACUUGGGAAUUGCAUUCGAUACUGUUUAGCUAGAGUGUGGGAGAGGAUGGUAGAAUUCCAGGUGUAGCGGUGAAAUGCGUAGAGAUCUGGAGGAAUACAGAUGGCGAAGGCAGCCAUCUGGCCUAACACUGACGCUGAGGUACGAAAGCAUGGGGAGCAAACAAG